AUUGUAACUAUUUCCUCCUGUGUCACAUUACUGAGGAACGUGGAGUUGGGAUUUGCAAUCUGAGGCAGAGAAUGAGGAGCUGGCAGAAAAAAGGAACAGGAAGCCAGUCCAUCGUCUCGGGGACUCGGAUGAUAGCGAAGAAGACCCGGGAAAUGGUGACCUUGCAUCUCUGGGGUUGGCAAGCCAAUUGCACAGGCAGACUCCACCGUCUCGCCGAGUGCCAGCAAGAGUCAUGAGUACUUGUCAACUCGACUCCUCAACUGGAGA